UAGCCAUGCAGUGAGGGAGGCAGCGGUCAUCUGGGUUAGUUGGCUCAUCAGAAAUAUAUGAUUGGGCAUCAUCUGCAUAUCUUUGGAAGUUUACAUUAUGCUAACAUAUAAUGUUUCCUAACAGAAGCAUAUAUAGGGGAAAAAAGCAGAGGACCAAGAGUGCAUAUGCUGCAACAAUUAGCUUCCAGUAUAAUCAAUAUAACCGGCUACACCAGAAAUCAUAGCGGCACUCACAUUCCAAAAAAUUAGAUCAGGCAUCUAAAGCUAUUAAUACGCUCUGCGACCGGAACAUUUCAAUUACGGAGGAAGAAGAGACAGACAGACAGCAGAUAGACACUACUGGGGAAAAGAUGGAGUGAUCGACACUACUGGGGAAAAGAUGGAGUGAUAGACACUACUGGGGAAAAGAUGGAGUGAU